AUCUCCCUCCUUCUUCUCUCUGUCCUUGGCGAACGAAACAAAGUAGCACCUCCGACCCCCUGCCCGGAGCUCGGACCUGCAAAGUGGGUCAGGACUCGACUGAGCAUGCUCAGAACAGUGCCAGAAUGCUGCACGCGGCUGCAUCUUGUUGCCCAAGGUUGAUGUAGCUGCGCUCGCUAGUCACGACCUCGAAGAAGAGAACACUGAAGUGCAGAAGGAUAACAGAGAAGAGAUUUUACAGGCUUGUGGUGAAUAAACUCAAGAACCCAGAGAGAGCCUUGCAGUGAGCCCAGAUCCCCUUCACUGGCAGAUGGACUUUGCAACCCCAGGGACUAGAAAUUGAGCCCAUCACUAUUAACAUGACAGAAAUCAUCUGGAGGCUGGAGAGAAACGCCCCCAUGGGUCCUCCAAACAUUUGAAGAUUCUCCAGCUUUCCUCGUCCUACAGGCUUCAAGUGCCUGAAGUUUCUCAUGUUUGCCUUCUCUCCUCGGUGGGAUUGACAGCCAUUGUGUAAUCCAUGGGUUGAAGACUGAAGAGCAACAAGACGGAAGGAACUACAGUCUCUGAUUCACUGUUUGGACAGAGUUGCCUGCAGAUCACAUCUUUAAAAGUUUUAUGUGAGUCAGAAAUAAACUUUGAUUGCGUUAAGUCUUUGAGAAUGUUGUCUAAUACAAUCAUGAUAUUCAAAAGGAUUAUUACAUGGUAAAAAUCUGGGCACUGUUUGCUAAAGUAAGAUGAGUUGGGAGUGACAUGGUUUCGGCCAUUUUGGGGAAGAGAUUUCAAGGCAGAAGAUGGGUUUCUGUGUCCUGAGUAACAAUAAAAUGAAAACCAUCAUUUCUCCCAAUAUAGUGGAAAAGUUUGGGGAUGUAUUACAA